rnacentral:lncRNA from 1 species
GUCUGUAGAUCCUCAGUUCCCAAAGCGAUGGUGGUUCAAAGAAGUGGAGAGAGACAUCAAAGGAAAAAUGUUCUGGGAGAGGAAAUUGGUUCAUAUUUGGAAAUCAGAGACUACGCUUAAUUGUUUGAAAAAAAUUCAACCAGAAAAUAAAAAAGGGUUCUUUCUAAGAGAACACCCAGAGUCAGGAAGUCUUCACUUGCUGACCUGAAUGUGAAUGAUGUAUGCUGACUGCUGAAGGCUGCUGAGACGCAAUGAAUAUCCCU